rnacentral:tRNA from 1 species
GCCGAUGUAGCUCAGAUGGUAGAGCAGCGCAUUCGUAACGCGCAGGUCAGCGGUUCGAUCCCGCUCGUCGGCU